rnacentral:lncRNA from 1 species
UUUUACUAAAUGACUACUUUAUUGUAUUUUAUUUUAUUUUUUAAAGAAAAAUAUUUAUACAUUUAGUCAUUUUUUGUAAGAACGGAACGGAAGGAGUAAUAUAUUAUGACAGUCUUAUCUCUUUACUAACCCUGACACUAUAUUUGAUAACUCAAUUCUAACGUUUAAAACUUAAAUUUUUUACAUUGGAUUCUGUUGGGUCAUAAUAUUUCUCCUAUCUUGGGCCGG